GAUGAACGCUGGCGGCGUGCCUAAUACAUGCAAGUCGAGCGAACAGACGAGGAGCUUGCUCCUUUGACGUUAGCGGCGGACGGGUGCGUAACACGUGGGUAACCUACCUAUAAGACUGGGAUAACUUCGGGAAACCGGAGCUAAUACCGGAUAAUAUUUCGAACCGCAUGGUUCGAUAGUGAAAGAUGGCUCUGCUAUCACUUAUAGAUGGACCUGCGCCUUAUUAGCUAGUUGGUAAGGUAACGGCUUACCAAGGCAACGAUACGUAGCCGACCUGAGAGGGUGAUCGGCACACUGGAACUGAGACACGGUCCAGACUCCUACGGGAGGCAGCAGUAGGGAAUCUUCCGCAAUGGGCGAAAGCCUGACGGAGCAACGCCGCGUGAGUGAUGAAGGUCUUCAGAUCGUAAAACUCUGUUAUUAGGGAAGAACAAACGUGUAAGUACCUGUGCACGUCUUGACGGUACCUAAUCAGAAAGCAACGGCUAACUACGUG
rnacentral:rRNA from 1 species